AUGAACGCUGGCGGCGUGCCUAAUACAUGCAGGUCGAGCGAACGGACGAGAAGCUUGCUUUUCUGAUGUUAGCGGCGGACGGGUGAGUAACACGUGGAUAACCUACCUAUAAGACUGGGAUAACUUCGGGAAACCGGAGCUAAUACCGGAUAAUAUUUUGAACCGCAUGGUUCAAAAGUGAAAGACGGUCUUGCUGUCACUUAUAGAUGGAUCCGCGCUGCAUUAGCUAGUUGGUAAGGUAACGGCUCACCAAGGCAACGAUGCAUAGCCGACCUGAGAGGGUGAUCGGCCACACUGGAACUGAGACACGGUCCAGACUCCUACGGGAGGCAGCAGUAGGGAAUCUUCCGCAAUGGGCGAAAGCCUGACGGAGCAACGCCGCGUGAGUGAUGAAGGUCUUCGGAUCGUAAAACUCUGUUAUUAGGGAAGAACAUAUGUGUAAGUAACUGUGCACAUCUUGACGGUACCUAAUCAGAAAGCCACGGCUAACUACGUG
rnacentral:rRNA from 1 species